rnacentral:rRNA from 1 species
UACAGAGGGUGCAAGCGUUGUUCGGAAUUAUUGGGCGUAAAGCGCGUGUAGGCGGCUUUGCAAGUCGGGUGUGAAAGCCCUCAGCUCAACUGAGGAAGUGCGCCCGAAACUGCAGAGCUUGAGUACCGGAGAGGGUGGCGGAAUUCCCCAAGUAGAGGUGAAAUUCGUAGAUAUCGGGAGGAACACCGGUGGCGAAGGCGGCGACCUGGGUAGAUACUGACGCUGAGGUGCGAAAGCGUGGGGAGCAAACAGG